AUUUAUUUUUGAGACAGAGUCUCUCUCUGUCACCCAGGCUGGAGUGCAGUGGUGUGAUCUCAGUUCACUGCAACCUCUGUCUCCUGGGUUCAUGCGAUUCUCGUGCCUCAGCCUCUGAGUAGCUGGCACUACUGAAGCACCAUGGAUUACAGCCACCAUGCCUGGCUAAUUUUUGUAUUCUUAGUAGAGACAGGGUUUCCCCAUGUUGGCCAUGCUGGUCUCGAACUCCUAUGUGUGCAUCCUGUUUAGAGAAAUGUCUGUUCAACUCGUUUGCCCAUUUUUAAACCUGGUUAUUUGUUUUUUUUGUUUUUGAGUUGCAGGAGUUCUUUAUUUUUUUUCUUAUCAUGUCUGCUGCUAAUUUUUGCCCUGAAUUGCUGCAGUAAGACUACAGCAGCUGAUGUGAUUCACUAGAAAUAAGUUGCAUUUCCUUUGUAGACUGGUGAUACAGAGAAAUAAAAUUAGAUUUUCUUUUAAAAAUUUUAUGUCUAGUUGUAACUGAACCCAGAUUUGGCUGCUUACUGCUCAAAAGCCAAAUACGAGAGACAAGAGUUGGUGGCAGGUUUAUCUGGAGAGCCAGCAAACCAGGAAGAUGGUAGAUAAGUGUCUAAAGUGCCGUCUAAGUCAGUACAGGUUUCGGGUUCUUAAUUAUGUUAAGGG
rnacentral:lncRNA from 1 species